rnacentral:rRNA from 1 species
CACCUACGGGGGGCAGCAGUGAGGAAUAUUGGUCAAUGGGCGGGAGCCUGAACCAGCCAAGCCGCGUGAAGGAAGAAGGCGCCAGGCGUCGUAAACUUCUUUUGUCGGGGAACAAAGGGCGCCACGCGUGGCGUUGUGAGUGUACCCGCAGAAAAAGCAUCGGCUAACUCCGUGCCAGCAGCCGCGGUAAUACGGAGGAUCCAAGCGUUAUCCGGAUUUAUUGGGUUUAAAGGGUGCGUAGGCGGAUUGAUAUGUUAGA